UUUGCAGUGACAGAUAAAUGUGUAGGAUUUAAGACCCUAGUAUGUCCUUAGGGCCUGCAAAA
rnacentral:tRNA from 1 species